GCUGGGUGUGGUGGUUCACGCCUGUAAUCCCAGAACUUUGGGAGGCUGAGACGGGUGGAUUACCUGAGGUCAGGAGUUCAAGACCAGCCUGACUUACAUGGUGAAACCCCGUCUCUA
ensembl:misc_RNA Metazoa_SRP Metazoan signal recognition particle RNA